rnacentral:rRNA from 1 species
UACGUAGGGGGCAAGCGUUGUCCGGAUUUAUUGGGCGUAAAGAGCGUGUAGGCGGCUUUGCAAGUCCGUUGUGAAAACUCGAGGCUCAACCUCGAGACGCCGGUGGAAACUGCAAAGCUAGAGUCCGGAAGAGGAGAGUGGAAUUCCUGGUGUAGCGGUGAAAUGCGCAGAUAUCUGGAGGAACACCGGUGGCGAAGGCGGCAUCCUGGACCAACACUGACACUGAGGAGCGAAAGCCAGGGGAGCAAACGGG